UCCCUGUCUCUCGCUCUCUGGUUUAGGUAGCUGUAUAUGUUCUGAUUUGUUCCGUGUGCAGAUCCUGGAAGCGAGGCUCGUCUCUGUGAUUUGCUUGUCAAGAAAUUAUGCAUAGGUUACUUCACUACUGCUCUCGGCUAGCUUGACGUUGUGGCAGAAUAUCAGUUUCCCCUUUGCACAUCCGCUCAUGUAGGUUUAGUAGUACAUGUCUAUUCAUUUAGGUGUUUCCGCUUGCACGUUUCCAGAUCCAGAGCUUACAAGUCUAUCAAUUUAGAUGUUCAGCGUGCCCGUUAUGUCCAGAUCUAGAACUUAAAAGUAGCAUUUUCACAUACAAGAUCUAGUGGGUAAAUCUUUUAAGUUCAAGUUCAGAAUUAAAGACAGAUAUAUGGCUACUAUGAUGCAGGUUGUCCAUGCUAAUAGUGGCGGAGCUUGAAAGAAAUCUUAGGAGGGGCGAAGGUACCGAUGAAUGUUUAAAGGCUACAUUGGUGUUUCUAGCUUGGAGAAGCAACAUCAACUUGGGAUACAGAUUCACCAGCAUAUGCACAUGCAUCUCAUAGGGGAAGAGCUCUUGCAUGGAUGACCAUAAUGUCACUCUGGAUGCUUCUCCACAAGAUUUGAUUCUGGAGCCUGACGCUGGUGUUGCAGGGAUGUUUGGAUUUUUAUUGAUAAUGCAUCUGGAACUACCUCAGCUUGUCACUCCUCGGAAGCCAACCUCUUGAUAGUUAAUGAUGUCGGGUGCAUGUAUAGAUAGCAUGCUGUAACAAGUUUAUUUGAUACUCGGCGUGACCAACAAUGCUUGUACAUGUUGGUCACAGUGUUCUAGUUGCAACGACUAACUUGUCAUAGCUUAUUUUUUGAAUUUGGCCUUCAGUUGACUACAUAUCUGAUGUAUGUGUUCAUUGAUUAUGAAUCUGAUGUGGUGUAUGA